AAAUCAGUUAUGGUUCACUAGAUCGUAUUACCUACACGGAUAACUGUGGUAAUUCUAGAGCUAAUACGUGCAAACAGCUCGUUCCCUCGUGGAGCGAGCGCAGUUAUUAGAACAAAACCAAUCCGGCCUUCGGGUCGGUUAAAAUGGUGACUCUGAAUAACCGAAGCGGAGCGUAUGGUCUCGUACCGACGCCAGAUCUUUCAAGUGACUGCUCUAUCAGCUUGUUGCUAGGUUAUGCUCCUAGCAAGGCUUCAACGGGUAACGGGGUAUCAGGGUCUGAUACCGGAGAGGGAGCCUGAGAAACGGCUACCACAUCCAAGGAAGGCAGCAGGCGCGCAAAUUACCCACUCCCAGCACGGGGAGGUAGUGACGAAAAAUAACGAUGCGAGGGCUUAUUGCUUCUCGUAAUCGGAAUGGGUACACUUUAAAUCCUUUAACGAGGAUCUAUUGGAGGGCAAGUCUGGUGCCAGCAGCCGCGGUAAUUCCAGCUCCAAUAGCGUAUAUUAAAGUUGCUGCGGUUAAAAAGCUCGUAGUUGGAUCUGGGCAGUUGGAUGGGUGGUGCGCUUUACGCGCUACUGCUCGUUCGGCGCCACAAGCCGAUCUUGUCUUGCAUGCUCUUCACUGAGUGUGCUUGGCGAUCGGAACGUUUACUUUGAAAAAAUUAGAGUGCUCAAAGCAAGCGUAUGGCUUUGAAUAAUGGUGCAUGGAAUGAUGGAAUAGGACCUCGGUUCUAUUUUGUUGGUUAUCGGAGUCGAGGUAAUGAUUAAGAGGAACAGACGGGGACAUUCGUAUUCCGGCGUUAGAGGUGAAAUUCUUGGAUCGUCAGAAGACGAACUACUGCGAAAGCAUUUGUCAAGAAUGUUUUCAUUAAUCAAGAACGAAAGUUAGAGGUCA
rnacentral:rRNA from 1 species